rnacentral:rRNA from 1 species
AUUGAACGCUGGCGGCAGGCCUAACACAUGCAAGUCGAGCGGCAGCGGAAAGUAGCUUGCUACUUUGCCGGCGAGCGGCGGACGGGUGAGUAAUGUCUGGGAAACUGCCUGAUGGAGGGGGAUAACUACUGGAAACGGUAGCUAAUACCGCAUAACGUCGCAAGACCAAAGAGGGGGACCUUCGGGCCUCUUGCCAUCAGAUGUGCCCAGAUGGGAUUAGCUAGUAGGUGGGGUAACGGCUCACCUAGGCGACGAUCCCUAGCUGGUCUGAGGGGAUGACCAGCCACACUGGAACUGAGACACGGUCCAGACUCCUACGGGAGGCAGCAGUGGGGAAUAUUCCACAAUGGGCGCAAGCCUGAUGCAGCCAUGCCGCGUGUAUGAAGAAGGCCUUCGGGUUGUAAAGUACUUUCAGCGGGGAGGAAGGUGUUGUGGUUAAUAACCACAGCAAUUGACGUUACCCGCAGAAGAAGCACCGGCUAACUCCGUGCCAGCAGCCGCCGUAA